GACCCGCAGAAGCCCAGCGCAGUGUCCCCUGUGGAUGCUUGGUGUGCAGUCGGCCCGGCAGAAGACGUUGCGCGCGUUUUGACUCCGACGGAGGAGACGCCAAGAAAAUGACUCUGCACGGAUGGUACGCGUUAGCCCUCCUGGCGAAAGUAGCUCUCUGCCAGGUGCUCCCAGCCACCGCCCAGCAAGGCACCCUCCCUGCUUCUGCAAGUGGCGGCCCCUGUCAGUGCUCUGGAGGCGCUGAAUAUUGGCUUCGAGGUCGUUCAGCAGCGUAGGACAGAGACUCGAAUUCAAGCGGCAGCUCCUCCUCAAGUGGGUGUUGGCUUUGGCGCCGCCUUUGUCCCUCCCCCGGACCAAGCUGGACGUCUGCUCUUCGCCUUCAGGAGGGCGCGGCCGGAAACGAGGCAGGAGGCAGAGUGCACGGGGCGCCUGCUUCUUGAGGCUUCGAAGACGUUUGU